rnacentral:rRNA from 1 species
UACGGGGGGUGCGAGCGUUAUUCGGAAUAACUGGGCGUAAAGGGCACGCAGGCGGACUUUUAAGUGAGGUGUGAAAUCCCGGGGCUUAACCUGGGAAUUGCAUUUCAGACUGGGAGUCCAGAGUACUGUAGGGAGGGGUAGAAUUCCACGUGUAGCGGUGAAAUGCGUAGAGAUGUGGAGGAACACCGAAGGCGAAGGCAGCCCCCUGGGAAUGUACUGACGCUCAUGUGCGAAAGCGUGGGGAGCAAACAGG